rnacentral:rRNA from 1 species
UACGGGGGGGGCAAGCGUUGUUCGGAAUUACUGGGCGUAAAGGGCUCGUAGGCGGCCAACUAAGUCAGACGUGAAAUCCCUCGGCUUAACCGGGGAACUGCGUCUGAUACUGGAUGGCUUGAGUUUGGGAGAGGGAUGCGGAAUUCCAGGUGUAGCGGUGAAAUGCGUAGAUAUCUGGAGGAACACCGGUGGCGAAGGCGGCAUCCUGGACCAACACUGACGCUGAGACGCGAAAGCCAGGGGAGCGAACGGG